rnacentral:rRNA from 1 species
AACUUUCAGCUUGGCAUGGUUUUUAGAAGCAGAGAGCACAUGAAGAAAGCAGUGAUUUCCUAUGGAAUUAAAACUCACAGGCAUUUGUUGUUCAGCAAAGAUGAACAUGACAAAGUCCGAGCAUACUGUUCUUGGCCUGGAUGUAAGUGGGUCAUUUAUGCAUCAAAGACAACUAGGCACAAAUGGUUGCAAGUCUCAACAUUUGUCGAUGAGCAUCACUGUAUUCCAAGAAGAGACAACAAAUUAAUGACAUCUGUUGUUAUUGCUAAGAAGUAUGCAGCCUUGAUAAAAGCAAAUCCAACAUGGAAAUUAGAAAACUUGAAGCAAACUGUUUUGAAGGACAUGUUUGCAGAUGUCACUAUUGCACAAUGCAAAAGGGCCAAGGAAUUAGUGAUGGAGAAAUACAAAGAUAGCACUAAAGGAGAAUAUUCCUUGGUUUUUGACUACCAAUUGGAAUUGCUGAGAACUAACCCAGGUAGCACUGUUGCUAUCAAACUGGCAGAUGAUGUGAAGGAUGAUGAGCAUGUUUUUGAGAGGUUUUACAUGUGCUUUGGUGCUAUUAAAAAAGGAUUUCUUCCUGGCUGCAGAAAGGUUAUAGGACUAGAUGGUUGUUUCUUUAAAGGU